UACGUAGGGUGCGAGCGUUAAUCGGAAUUACUGGGCGUAAAGCGUGCGCAGGCGGUUUUGUAAGCCAGAUGUGAAAGCCCCGGGCUUAACCUGGGAAUGGCAUUUGGGACUGCAAGGCUGGAGUGUGGCAGAGGAGACGUGGAAUUCCUGGUGUAGCAGUGAAAUGCGUAGAGAUGUGGAGGAACACCGAUGGCGAAGGCAGCCCCCUGGGCUAACACUGACGCUCAUGCACGAAAGCGUGGGGAGCAAACAGG
rnacentral:rRNA from 1 species